ensembl:lncRNA
AUUACAGUAUUCAGGGAGUUGCUGUCAUCUCAAGAUACGCAGGUGUCUGUGGAACAUAAACAGAUGCGAUCGUUCAGACAGUGAACUCAAUUGAUAGAGGGUAGAGGAAAAUAUCAGCCAUAAAAUCAUAAAUGUAACAUCUCCAGUUAAUGUUGGCCAGGUGCACUGCGGCUGUUUUGCAGCCCAACAAGGACAAAGUGGCACUCUGAGGCCAUGCAGCACCUCCAGAUGAGGGACUGCUUGAUUAUUAGCUGAAAAUAUACCUCUUGUGCAUCAUCCUAUUUCAGUAUUGCCUUGCCUAACCCGCAGUCUCUGAGGACAGAAAUCAGUUCAUCAUGCAGCACUAAGGUUGGAAACUGCUCUGUCCUGCCAUGCUAGGUUGAGUUUCAGUGAUGAAUGUCUGCAGACUUCUUGGCGACCCCGAGUGUGGGGAUUGGGGCUCAGCUGCCCACCCCACAGCUCUGUCCCUUUCCUUUGGUGCUGCACAGCUCCCAUGAGUAGUUUUGUUGCUGUGGUUGCCCUCAUCAUCAGCCUGGGUAGCUGAGCCUGAAAAAAAAUGACAAGGAGAGAUGUUGAUGGGAAACUGCUGAAGAUGAAACGCAGUCUGCAGAGCUGCAGCUGCCAUCUGGCUGCUUGUUGGAUAUAUGGAGCAUUAAUCUUUUUUCAGGAGAGGCUGGAGGAGGAAGGCAAUUGCCAAGCACGUCUGUAAUCUACGUAGGAGGGUUUUGUGUAGCUGUAGGGGGAGAAGAGUGAUGGAAUACCCCCCUGUACCAUGGAUGACCUCAGCAUUCGUGCCGUGAGUCAGCAUCCACCUGCUGAGGCCGAGCAGAUGCGGGCACGAGGGUCCCUGCGUUGGUGCUCUCUUGGUGGUGUUGGGCUCUCACCGAGCCACGGAAGCUCAGUGCCAGCUGUCGGCUUCACCCAGCCAGCAGUGGGCCUCACCUCCACGGUGCCAGGAAAACAAACUGAAAGGAAGGGUCGCAAUUCAGUCUGCGGACAGACAGAGAAGAGAGAUUCAGCUGCAGUGCCUAAGCCGAUAAUCUUCUUGGAAGCACCCUCAGACAGCAGGGCCUGGUACUUCAGCUCCUCCAAGAACAAAACCUCUACAAAUCCUUCAUCCCAAAAAACGUUUUGAGGUUUUCAACUUACGUUAAAGCCCUACCUGAAUACCGCAAGAACAGAACCUUUCAUUGCGCGAUGUCCGUGUGCCCAAGAAGGCUGUGCCCGGCACACUGCUGCCUUGCUCCUGCUGAGCCUGAGUUUUUGGGGGCGGGAGGGGAAGCGCUCAAGGAAAAGGAGUAGUAGAAAUAUACUUUUGACUGUGGAAAAAAAUAGCACCUUCGGUUCUCGUUUCCUAAGGCUCCUCCAAGACCCAAGAACUUGAAUUAGUGAGUAGUGGUGGGGGAGAAGGGCAGAGCUGAGCAAUGAGUGCCGCUAAGGUGCCCUUCGUCUAAACUUCUUACCUGUAGACUCACUGGUGGUUUUGUAGCCCCUUGGAGUUGACAGUGGAUGGAGGUACUGCAGUACCCCAGGAAUGAGAUGUGGAUGUCUGGAGCAGGCUCAGCUAGCUUCUGCCCUUCCUAAAGCACUCUGCAGGGUCUGAGGCUCUCCAUGCAAACUGAUGCUGCUCUGCCUCCUUUGUAUGCUCCAUUUGAAAUUCUAUUACCAUUUCAGAAGGCAGGCGUUUGAAGAGAAAAUUGAAUACCCGUCCAGCGUUGAUAAGAAGGGGCAUUCGGCGCUCCA